AACGGGUUGUCUGCUGGCUCGCAAGGGCAUGUGCACGCCUGUCUCAUCCACUCUCAACUUCUGUGCACUUUUCAUAGGCCGGCUUGUGGGUGCGUUCGCGCACUUGUAGGUGUCGGGCUUAUGCUUUACUACAAACGAUUCAGUUUUAGAAUGUCAUACUUUGCUAUAACGCAAUUUAUAUACAACUUUCAGCAACGGAUCUCUUGGCUCUCGCAUCGAUGAAGAACGCAGCGAAAUGCGAUAAGUAAUGUGAAUUGCAGAAUUCAGUGAAUCAUCGAAUCUUUGAACGCACCUUGCGCUCCUUGGUAUUCCGAGGAGCAUGCCUGUUUGAGUCUCAUGGAAUUCUCAACCUUCGGCUUCAUUGACGAAGGCUUGGACUUGGAGGUCGUGCCGGCUCUCGUAGUCGGCUCCUCUGAAAUGCAUUAGUGCGAACGUUACCAGCCGCUUCAGCGUGAUAAUUAUCUGCGUUGCUGUGGAGGGUAUUCUAGUGUCCGCGCUUCUAACCGUCUUCGGACAAAUUUCUGAACUCUGAGCUCAAAUCAGGUAGGACUACCCGCUGAACUUAAGCAUAUCAAUAAGCGGAGGAAAAGAAACUAACAAGGAUUCCCCUAGUAACUGCGAGUGAAGCGGGAAAAGCUCAAAUUUAAAAUCUGGCGGUCUUCGGCCGUCCGAGUUGUAAUCUGGAGAAGCGUUUUCCGCGCCGGACCGUGUACAAGUCUCUUGGAACAGAGCGUCAUAGAGGGUGAGAAUCCCGUCUUUGACACGGACUACCGGUGCUAUGUGAUGCGCUCUCGAUGAGUCGAGUUGUUUGGGAAUGCAGCUCAAAA
rnacentral:rRNA from 1 species